AAGUUAAUAUUAUCCAUUAGAUUUAGGUUUCAGAUUGUGUAAACCUAUUGAGCUUAUAAAUAAGCAUGUAAAUGGCGAUUUGGAGCCUUAAGGGAGUAAGGGGGAUUUCCCCUCUCCACUUCUUGGAAAUAAGAAAAUGUGUUCUUGAAUCAGAUUCCCUUAAUCUACCCCUUUCUUAGUCUCUAAUCUCUUAAUCUCUCAAAGUCUCUUGUUUCUGAUUUAAGUAAACACUCUCAUCAAUCUCUCUUUCUAAAUCACCUAGAGCAAGCUCUCAUCUUUCUCCAUUGGAGUUUAUACACACACAAACACAACAAGAGAAGAGAACUCUACAAAUCUCACAUGGUAUCAGAGCCAGGUUCAUCAGAACCUGAGCUGUAGCUUCCGCAAAUCACUUGCUCUCACCUCAGCUCAAAUCAAAGCCUAGAAGACAUGUACUUGCGGUUCUGGUUACUUCAAGAAGAAGAAGACUGAAGCAUGGCGUGUUACUCCUUAUCUCUCAGCCAGUUCAACCUGUACCUGAUGAAGACUCUUGUUGGAAGCAAAGGUGUGUGGAGAGGCCUCGCGAACCUUGUCCAUGGCGCCUUGUCCAAAGGCUGUUCCUCAUCUGGUGUGAAGAGAAAGCUAUCCAGAAGAUGGCGAAUAGAGGGCUUGAAGAAAGGAGGGGUUUUGUGAGUAUGAGAAACAAGGAGGAAGUCAUGAACUGAAGGAGAAGGAGAUGGGUAACGAUCCAGACUC
rnacentral:lncRNA from 1 species